rnacentral:rRNA from 1 species
UACGUAGGGUGCAAGCGUUAAUCGGAAUUACUGGGCGUAAAGCGUGCGCAGGCGGUUAUGUAAGACAGAUGUGAAAUGCCCGGGCUUAACCUGGGAACUGCAUUUGUGACUGCAUGGCUAGAAUCUGGCAGAGGGGGGUAGAAUUCCACGUGGUAGCAGUGAAAUGCGUAGAUAUGGUGGAGGAACACCGAUGGCGAAGGCAGCCCCCCUGGGUCAAGAUUGACGCUCAUGCACGAAAGCGUGGGGAGCAAACAGG